rnacentral:misc_RNA from 1 species
UUCAUCUAUCUUCCAAACCUUC